UUUCGAGAGCUGGGCUGUGGUUCUCCUGUGGAGGUUCUGGGAGCAGCUGCUUUUGGUAAAGGGAAGGGUCAGGUGUGGUCAGAGGAGCUUCAGUGUAGAGGAGAUGAAUCUGAGAUUACUCUCUGUCCAAUAACCUCUUCACACAAAUAAAACUGCUCUCAUGGUAAUGAUGUGGGACUUGUAUGUUCUGGUACAGUAUAAUAUGUGAUAUUAUCGUCUAACAUUUCUUUAUAUAAUAUACAGUAUAGGAGAGAACUUGCUCUUUUACGAGUCUCUUGGUUCUAAUUUCAGGUCAUACUCAGGCUCGGCUGAUGAACGGCUCAGACUCUUGUUCUGGUCGAGUGGAGCUCCAGUACCUCAGUGAGUGGGGUACAGUGUGUGAUGUAAGCUGGGAUAUGAGAGCUUCCAGUGUCCUCUGUGCUCAGCUGAAGUGUGGGAGUGCUGUGGCUGUGUUGAGGUCAGACUGGUUUGGGGAGGGGAGUGGCCGGAUCUGGGCGGAUGUGUUUGAUUGUCAGGGGAACGAAACACACCUGUUGAAGUGUCCCAUUUCAUCAUGGAGUCGAACUGCAUGCUCUCAUAAACAGGAUGUUGGACUCAUCUGCAGUGGUUCUUCUCUGGCGUCUCAUGAGGGAGGAGUGCGGUUGUCUGGAGGGAUGGAGUGUGAGGGGGAGGUGGAGGUUUUCUUCAGGCAGGACUGGAGGAGAGUUCUGCUGGACUCCUGGAGUGAGUCUGAGGCCUCUGUGGUCUGCAGACAGCUGGGCUGUGGUUCUGUACUCAACAUCUCCAGCUCCUCUUCAUCCAGUCCUGAACACAGCUACAUGUGUGUGACGGGUUUCAACUGCUCUGGGAGUGAAGCUCAUCUGAGGAACUGCAGCAGCUCACAAGCAGUUAACUGCAGCUCCACGGAACAGCUCUACAUCACCUGCUCUGGCUACAGCUUCAUCAGGCUGGUUGGUUCUGGGGGAGACUGUGCUGGAAGGCUGGAGGUUUUCCACAGUGGAUCAUGGGGGACAGUGAGUGAUGAAUUGUGGGAUAUUGAGGAUGCGCAGUUGGUCUGCAGACAGCUGCAGUGUGGAGUCGCCCUCAGAGCUCCAGUACCGGUACCAGCCCGGUUUGGAUCUGGAACUGGACCCAUAUGGCUGAAUGAGGUGGAGUGUGAGGGGAACGAGGCGUCUCUGUGGAACUGCAGAUAUCAGCUGUGUGGAGAGGAUGAAUGUGGACACAAGGAUGAUGUAGGAGUCGUGUGCUCAGAGUAUAAAGAGAUCAGACUGACUGAGGGCUGUGAGGGGAAUCUGGAGGUGUUCUAUAAUGGAACCUGGGGGAAUGUGUGUAACAAUGGGAUGGAUGUAGAAACAAUGGGUCUCAUCUGUCGGGAGCUGAACUGUGGAAGAUUUAAGACUGAGAGAGCUACCAAAGCACGAGUGGAAUCAGCUCCUAACUGGCUGGAUGAUGUAAAAUGUAGGAAACAUGACUCUACUCUGUUUCACUGUCCAUCUUCAUCCUGGAGUCAGAACAAUUGUGAUAGAAGCAGUGAGGUGACUCAUAUUACCUGCUCCGGAGAGAAGAAACAGCUUGCAUUUGAAAACCUUCAAAAAUUCUUCUUAUUUCCAAACCAGGGUCAGUGCUCAAAUUACAUGCCUAUUAGGUUGAGAGGAGGAGAGGAAAUCUGUUCUGGGAGGUUGGAGGUGUAUUAUAAUGCUGAGUGGGGGUCUAUAUGUGCUGAUCUGUGGGACAUCAGGGAUGCUCAGGUGGUCUGCAGGCAGCUGGGUUGUGGGCCGGCGCUGAGUGCUAAUAGAAGAGCUGCUGAUGGUUCUGGUGGAGGAACUAUCUGGAUGAACAGAGUGAAGUGUAGAGGGAAUGAGAUUCACCUGUGGGACUGUCCUCAUUCCCUGAAGAUCCACACUGGCUGCUCCCACAGUGCUGGAGUCACCUGUGCAGACAUAUUUGUCACAUUACCUUUUUCAUCUGAAACAACUACAACUUACACCACAGUACCAGCACAGCUAACAGAGAAAAAGACAGUCCCUCCUUCAAAAAAUCCAUCAUCUAAUUUUCCAUACAUCUAUCCAGUGUCUCUCCUGGUUCUGGGAUCUGUGCUCUUCCUGGCCUUAGUGCUUCUGGUUGUGCUGUUUUAUCAGAACAGAGUGCUCAGGAGAGUGAUUUCUAAGGCGAGGAGGAAGACUCUGCUUGAGGCAGUCUAUGAAGAGAUUAACCAUAAAUGUGUCACUAACAGAUAUACUAAAAGAGGAAGUUUUAUCUCUGAAGAUCAGCAUUCAGGAUAUGAGGACGUAGAUGAGGAGCUUCUCUCAGAAAACUAUGGCGAGGUCUAUGAUGAUAUCAUACCUGCUGAAGAGAGCCCACACAUUACAACAGACAGUGUGAGGUUGGUGGAUGGUGGGAGCCGCUGUGCUGAGACAGUGGAAGUUCUUCAUAGAGGGCAGUGGGGAACAGUGUGUGAUGAUUACUGGGAUAUGAGAGAUGCUGCAGUGGUGUGUAGAGAGCUGGGCUGUGGGGAAGCCAUAGAUGCACCACGGAGAGCUCGCUUUGGAUCAGGAUCAGGACCAAUCUGGGUGGAAUAUGCUAACUGUGCUGGAUCAGAGUCUUCACUGAAGAACUGUAGGUCGUAUGAUUGGGGUAGACAGAGAUGUAAUCAUGAUGAAGACGCUGGUGCUGUUUGUGCAGAAGUCAGAUUGGUGGGCAGAUCUCACUGCUCAGGGAGAGUGGAGGUUUUUCAUGGAGAGAGCUGGGUCACAGUGUGUGAUGCUGACUUUGACCAGCAGGAUGCAGAGGUUGUGUGUCGAGAGCUGGGCUGUGGUUCUCCUGUGGAGGUUCUGGGAGCAGCUGCUUUUGGUAGAGUGGAGGGUCAGGUGUGGUCAGAGGAGCUUCAGUGUAGAGGAAACGAAUCUCAGAUUCACUUCUGUCCAAAAUCAUCUUCACUCAAACACAACUGCUCCCAUGAUAAUGAUGUGGGACUGGCAUGUUCUGGUCACACUCAGGCUCGGCUGAUGAACGGCUCAGAUUCCUGUUCUGGUCGAGUGGAGCUCCAGUACCUCAGUGAGUGGGGUACAGUGUGUGAUGUAAGCUGGGAUAUGAGAGCUGCCAGUGUCCUCUGUGCUCAGCUGAAGUGUGGGAGUUCUGUGGCUGUGUUGGGGUCAGACUGGUUUGGGGAGGGGAGUGGCCGGAUCUGGGCUGAUGUGUUUGAUUGGCAGGGAAACGAAACACACCUGUUAAAAUGUCCCAUUUCAUCAUGGAGUCGAACUGCAUGCUCUCAUGAACAGUAUGCUGGAGUUAUCUGUAGUGGUUCUUCUCUGGCGUCUCAUGAGGGAGGAGUGCGGUUAUCUGGAGGGAUGGAGUGUGAGGGGGAGGUGGAGGUGUUCUUCAGGCAGGACUGGAGGAGAGUUCUGCUGGACUCCUGGAGUGAGUCUGAGGCCUCUGUGGUCUGCAGACAGCUGGGCUGUGGUUCUGUACUCAACAUCUCCAGCUCCUCUUCAUCCAGUCCUGAACACAGCUACAUGUGUGUGACUGGUUUCAACUGCUCUGGGAGUGAAGCUCAUCUGAGGAACUGCAGCAGCUCACAAGCAGUUAACUGCAGCUCCACGGAACAGCUCUACAUCACCUGCUCUGGUACAUCUAACACAGUCCACAGCUCCAUCAGGCUGGUUGGUUCUGGGGGAGACUGUGCAGGAAGGCUGGAGGUUUUCCACAGUGGAUCAUGGGGGACAGUGAGUGAUGAAUUGUGGGAUAUUGAGGAUGCGCAGGUGGUCUGCAGACAGCUGCAAUGUGGAGUCGCCCUCAGUGCUCCAGUACCGGUACCAGCCCGGUUUGGAUCUGGAACUGGACCCAUUUGGCUGAAUGAGGUGGAGUGUGAGGGGAACGAGGCGUCUCUGUGGAACUGCAGAUAUCAGCUGUGUGGAGAGGAUGAAUGUGGACACAAGGAUGAUGUAGGAGUCGUGUGCUCAGAGUAUAAAGAGAUCAGACUGACUGAGGGCUGUGAGGGGAAUCUGGAGGUGUACUAUAAUGGAACCUGGGGGAAUGUGUGUGUAAAUGGGAUGACUGAUGAAACGGCAAAAUUGAUCUGUCGAGAGCUGAACUGUGGAAGAACUGGCAGUGAGUCUUGGUCUAAAGCAAGAGUGGAAUCAGCUCCUAACUGGCUGGAUAAUGUAAAAUGUAGGAAACAUGACUCCACUCUGUGGCACUGUCCAUCUUCUUCCUGGGGGGAGAACAGGUGUGAUAAUCGCAAUGAGGUUGCUUGCAUUACCUGCUCAGAGCACAUUCCUCUGAGGCUGAGGGGAGGAGUAGGAAGCUGUUCUGGAUGGCUGCAGGUGUAUCAUAAUAAAACAUGGGGGUCUGUAUGUGGUGACCUCUGGGACAUCAGGGAUGCUCAGGUGAUCUGCAGGCAGCUGGGUUGUGGGCCGGCGCUGAGUGCUAAUAGAAGAGCUGUUGAUGGUUCUGGUGGAGGAACUAUCUGGAUGAACAGAGUGAAGUGUAGAGGGAAUGAGAUUCACCUGUGGGACUGUCCUCAUUCCCUGAAGAUCCACACUGACUGCUCCCACAGUGCUGGAGUCACUUGUGGAGGCUUCCUGUAUCAUACUUUGCCUUUAAAUAAUAAAAGAGGACAGAUGGGACAUUUUGUCUUGCAAGAUUCUCAACCACAGACAAGAAGAAUCAUACUUCCACAAACUCCUCCACCAGCUGUUCCCUCCAUCUAUCCAGUGUCUCUCCUGGUUCUGGGAUAUGUGCUCUUCCUGGCCUUAGUGCUUCUGGUUGUGCUGUUUUAUCAGAACAGAGUGCUCAGGAGAGUGAUCUCUAAGAGGAGGAAGACUUCAGCUGAGCCUGUCUAUGAGGAGAUUGACACCAGGCUCAUCCCUAAAAGAAUUACUGUCUCAACUGAAAGGUGGUGAGCUUCCUGAGGGCUUUGAGGAUAGUUAUCCUGGUGCGUGUCUUUCGUCUGGCCUCUCAGAAGAAAGAUCUGGAGAAGGUCACUAGAAGAAAGGUAUCUGAGAACAAAAGGCGGUAACAAAAAGGAUGGAUUUGAAUUGGAUCUCACCUAUGUCACAGCAGGCACUCUACAGAAAUCCCAUAAAAGAAGCUGCCAUAUUUCUGGACACAAAGCAUCCCGAUCAUUACAGAGUUUACAAUCUCUGCAGUCAAAAAGGCUACGAUCCGCUGUUCUUCCAUUACAGAGUGCAACGAGUGAUGAUUGACGACCAUAACGUACCGUCAUUAGACCAACCCACUCGUUAGGACUCCCCCUAUCACUAGUAAUGCCCCAACACACCAGGAGGAUGAAGACUAGCACACUCUUUCUCCGAUACAUGUGAAGUCAGCCACCGCUUCUUUUCGAGCUGCUGCUGAUGCAGCAUUGCCAAGCAGCCAGCACAUUUGGAGGAAAGCGCAGCGGCAGGUGAAGUGCGUAAUAUGGACAGUGUGCACUUUGCACUUGUGCAACUUUUUUUUAAAAACAGUUUGAUUUGUUUCUGCUAUAUUUUGAUUCAUAGCUUUAUAUAAAAUGAAAAUAACUUAUAACUAUAUUAUUUUCUUUAGCCCGAGGAACCUGAGGAAAGUGGUGGGAAAUCUCGAGCCAGUGACAUGUUGAACUACACUGCCAGUUUGAGGGAAUGUCAUUGCCAUCCACUGCAAAGGAGGCAAAGGUGUGGGAAAGGGCAAUGGCAGUGAUCUGAAGGUGCGGAUCAUAGUGAAAAGAGAGCAGGUGUUCCAGUGUGUCUGUGCCACGCAGACGAACUGUAGGCUGUUCCCAGAUACUGAAAACAAUGCCGUGGUGAUCAGCUUUCAGGAAGGGCCAGUGGUUUGUGGUGAUGUUAAGGUCAUGUUUGAAUCCAGGGCUGGUCUUCCAAAGGGGUAUGAGGACUAUCCUUUCUAUUUCUGGUUCAACACUUCAUUUGUAGAGAACAACAGGCUCUAUCUGUCAAGGGAGGAACUGGACAACCCACGUAAGUCCAAAACCUGGGACAUCUACAAGGAGGACUUUGGUGUGACUGUGUCUUUCAGUGACCCUGCACUUAUGUAGCAGACGACACUUGCUUGUGUAUCUCAACUAAAACCGUUAAGCCCUGCACAAGGUCUAAAUCUUUGCUCUAAUGUAGGUUUUCACACACUUAUAAAAGGUGAGUGAUGUUUAGGGAUUGGAUUCGGGCAUAUUGUGCCCCUAAAGCUAUAGCUAUAGCUAUAUAACCUCAACUUUAUGUCCAUCCCCCAUCUUCACUGUAAGAGCUUUUUACUGAGCCGUGCAUACAUCACAAUAUUAUGCAUUUGUUUGUCAAAUGUUUUUUUGUCUUUAAAUGAAGACAAAUGUUUGUGUCAGUUUAGCAUAUUAUGCUUCCAAAAUGUAAAUCUUACUCUUUAAGCUUGAGUGUACAUCAAAUAAAGCAAUCGAGGCUGCCACUGUGAAAUGGUCAAUGGUUAUGUGUGCAGAAACAUUUUUUUGUAGUACACAUGUAUUGAAAUAAAUACUAAUGUCUCUGUAA